GCCCUCGAUGGCUCAGAUGGACAGAGCGUCUACCAUGUAAGCAGAAGAUCCCGGGUUCGUGUCCCGGUCGGGGCA